rnacentral:rRNA from 1 species
UUAUACAGCGACUGCGAAUGGCUCAUUAUAUAAGUUAUCGUUUAUUUGAUAGUACCUUACUACUUGGAUAACCGUGGUAAUUCUAGAGCUAAUACAUGCUAAAAAUCCCGACUUCGGAAGGGAUGUAUUUAUUAGAUUAAAAACCAAUGCCCUCUGGGCUCCUUGGUGAUUCAUAAUAACUUUUCGAAUCGCACGGCCUUGCGCCGGCGAUGGUUCAUUCAAAUUUCUUCCCUAUCAACUUUCGAUGUUUGGGUCUUGGCCAAACAUGGUCGCAACGGGUAACGGAGGGUUAGGGCUCGACCCCGGAGAAGGAGCCUGAGAAACGGCUACUACAUCCAAGGAAGGCAGCAGGCGCGCAAAUUACCCAAUCCCGAUUCGGGGAGGUAGUGACAAUAAAUACUGAUACAGGGCUCUUUUGGGUCUUGUAAUUGGAAUGAGUACAAUUUAAAUCUCUUAACGAGGAACAAUUGGAGGGCAAGUCUGGUGCCAGCAGCCGCGGUAAUUCCAGCUCCAAUAGCGUAUAUUAAAGUUGUUGUGGUUAAAAAGCUCGUAGUUGAACCUUGGGCCUGGCUGGCCGGUCCGCCUCACCGCGUGCACUGGUCCGGCCGGGCCUUUCCCUCUGUGGAACCCCAUGCUCUUCACUGAGUGUGGCGGUGAAACAGGACUUUUACUUUGAAAAAAUUAGAGUGCUCCAGGCAGGCCUAUGCUCGAAUACAUUAGCAUGGAAUAAUAAAAUAGGACGCGUGGUUCUAUUUUGUUGGUUUCUAGGACCGCCGUAAUGAUUAAUAGGGACAGUCGGGGGCAUCAGUAUUCAAUUGUCAGAGGUGAAAUUCUUGGAUUUAUUGAAGACUAACUACUGCGAAAGCAUUUGCCAAGGAUGUUUUCAUUAAUCACGAACGAAAGUUAGGGGAUCGAAGACGAUCAGAUACCGUCGUAGUCUUAACCAUAAACUAUGCCGACUAGGGAUCGGACGAUGUUAUUUUUUGACGCGUUCGGCACCUUUACGAGAAAUCAAGUGCUUGGGCUCAGGGGGAGUAUGUCGGCAGCUGAACUAAGAAUGACCGAGCACAACAGGGUAAACGCUCGGCAGCGCAGUAGCUCUGGCU